UCCCUCCCUCCCCAGCUCGCUGUAAAGUGGCAAAGCGGGAGCCACUUACAGUGAGCCAGGGAGGGAGGGAGGUGGGAGGGGGCCCCCUGGCUCACCAUAAGUGGCUCCCACUUUGCCGCUUUACAGCGAGCCGGAGAGGGAGGG